rnacentral:lncRNA from 13 species
UUUUGACUUGUGAAAAUUUAUGGGAUACAGAUGUAAUUUUGCUAUAUGGAUGUAUCGUAUGGUGGUGAAGUCUGGGCUUUUAGUCUUUCUAUGACCACAAUAACAUACCCUGCACCCAUUAAUUAAUUUCUCAUCUUCCGUUCCCCUUCCACUCUCUCACCUCUGAGUCUCCAGUGUCUAGCAUUGCACACUCUGCGACCAAGUGUACACAUUAUUUAGCUCCCACUUCACUUAUAAGUAAGUAGAUGUGUUAUUUGUUUUCCUGUGUCUGACUUGUUUCACUUACGAUAAUAGCGUCCAGUUCUAUCCGUGUUGCUGCAAGAUAUGAUUUCUUUUUUUUUUUUGGCCGAACAGAAUUCCAUUGUGCAUCUCGACUACAUUUUCUUUGUCUAAACAUCCACUGAUGGACACAGAUUGAUUCUUUAUCUUUGCUCUUGGGAAUAGCAAUAACAUAUGAUUGCAAUAAACAUGUGAGCUGCAAUAAACAUGAAAACCAUAGGAAAGAAGAGGAGAUGCUGUUUUCAAGUUGUUUUUUCCCGACACUGAAAUACUUGGAAAAGAGACUAAAACAACUUUACCAGAUUGAAACACUGAAGACAAAGGAGCCCAGGAAGCAAAAUUCAUCAGAUAACUAGAGGAAGUUUUCAUGGAGUUGCUAUGAGUUAGAAACUUUUAAUGAAUCCAGUUGUAUUGUUUACCAAGUUAAGAUCCUCUUGGAUGUCAGGAGAUAGAUGUGUAGAUGUCAGCUUAUAAAAUACAGCACUUGUGUAAUAGCAGAAAUAUAAGAGGCUGGAAUCCCUCCAUGCCAAGAGAUAAUAAAGGAGGCCUGGGAUAAGUUGGAAGAAAAACU